rnacentral:misc_RNA from 1 species
GAUGAAGAACGUAGCGAAAUGCGAUAAGUAAUGUGAAUUGCAGAAUUCAGUGAAUCAUCGAAUCUUUGAACGCACAUUGCGCCCGCCAGCACUCUGGCGGGCAUGCCUGUUCGAGCGUCAUUUCAACCAUCAAGCCCCCAGGGGCUUGUGCUGGGGCCCUGCGGCUGCCCGCAGGCCCUGAAAACCAGUGGCGGGCUCGCUAGUCACACCGAGCGCAGUAGCACAUCUCGCUCAGGGCGUGCGGCGGGCUCCUGCCGUGAAACCCCCCACUGUAACACCAAAGGUUGACCUCGGAUCAGGUAGGAAUACCCGCUGAACUUAAGCAUAUCAAUAAGCGGAGGA